rnacentral:rRNA from 1 species
UAGCUAACGCGUUAAGCACUCCGCCUGGGGACUACGGUCGCAAGACUAAAACUCAAAGGAAUUGACGGGGACCCGCACAAGCGGUGGAGCAUGUGGUUUAAUUCGAUGCAACGCGAAAAACCUUACCACUUCUUGACAUGGAGGCUAGAUCCUUCUUAACAGAAGGGCGCAGUUCGGCUGGGCCUCGCACAGGUGCUGCAUGGCUGUCGUCAGCUCGUGUCGUGAGAUGUUGGGUUAAGUCCCGCAACGAGCGCAACCCUCAUCCUUAGUUACCAGCGGGUAAUGCCGGGCACUUUAAGGAAACUGCCAGUGAUAAACUGGAGGAAGGUGGGGAUGAUGUCAAGUCAGCACGGCCCUUAUGGGGUGGGCUACACACGUGCUACAAUGGCGACUACAAUAGGUUGCAACGUCGCAAGGCUGAGCUAAUCCGUAAAAGUCGUCUCAGUUCGGAUUGUCCUCUGUAACUCGAGGGCAUGAAGUCGGAAUCGCUAGUAAUCGUGGAUCAGCAUGCCACGGUGAAUACGUUCUCGGGUCUUGUACACACUGCCCGUCACGCCAUGGGAAUUGGCUUAACUCGAAGCUGGUGCGCCAACCGUAAGGAGGCAGCCAUU